rnacentral:rRNA from 1 species
UCGAACGCGAAAGUCCCCUUCGGGGGGCAAGUAGAGUGGCGCACGGGUGAGUAACACGUAGGUAAUCUACCUUUGGAUGGGGAAUAACAACCGGAAACGGUUGCUAAUACCGCAUAAUGCAGCGGCACCUAAUGGUGACAGUUGUUAAAGCGGGGGAUCGAAAGACCUCGCGUCUAAAGAGGAGCCUGCGGCGGAUUAGCUAGUUGGUAAGGUAAUGGCUUACCAAGGCUACGAUCCGUAACCGGCCUGAGAGGGCGGUCGGUCACACUGACACUGACAUACGGGUCAGACUCCUACGGGAGGCAGCAGUCGGGAAUUUUGGGCAAUGGGCGAAAGCCUGACCCAGCAACGCCGCGUGAAGGAUGAAAUCCCUCGGGAUGUAAACUUCGCAAGAACGGGAAGAAUAAGUAGGGGACAAUACCCCCUAUGAUGACGGUACCGUUUGUAAGCUCCGGCUAACUCCGUGCCAGCAGCCGCGGUAAUACGGGGGGAGCAAGCGUUGUUCGGAUUUACUGGGCGUAAAGGGCGCGUAGGCGGCCAGCACAAGUCAGUUGUGAAAUCUCCGAGCUUAACUCGGAAAGGUCAACUGAUACUGUGCGGCUAGAGUGCGGAAGGGGCAACUGGAAUUCUUGGUGUAGCGGUGAAAUGCGUAGAUAUCAAGAGGAACACCUGCGGCGAAGGCGGGUUGCUGGGCCGACACUGACGCUGAGGCGCGAAAGCCAGGGGAGCGAACGGGA